AUGCAAGUCGGGCGAGAACUCUUGAAAGGCAACUGGAAAGGGGGAAAGCGGCAAACCGGUGAGUAACACGUGAGCAACCUGCCCUCAAGUGGGGAAUAGCCCGCUGAAAGGCGGAUUAAUACCGCAUACGGCCCUGCAUCGCAUGGUGCGGCAGCCAAAGCUGGGGAUCUUCGGACCUGGCGCUUGUGGAGGGGCUCGCGGCCUAUCAGCUUGUUGGCGGGGUGAAAGCCCACCAAGGCUAAGACGGGUAGCUGGUCUGAGAGGUCGGACAGCCACACUGGGACUGAGACACUGCCCAGACACCUACGGGUGGCUGCAGUCGCGAAUCAUUGGCUAAUGUGCGCAAGCAUGACCAUGCGACGCCGCGUGGGGGAGGAAGGUCUUCGGAUCGUAAACCCCUGUCACCGGGGAAUAAUGACCGGCCUUUAAUAGGGGCCGGGCGAGAACCAUCCCGGAGAGGAAGUAGUGGCUAACUCCGUGCCAGCAGCCGCGGUAAUACGGAGACUACGAGCGUUACUCGGAUUCACUGGGCGUAAAGGGUGCGUAGGCGGUCGAGUGUGUCAGGUGUGAAAUCCCGGGGCUUAACCCCGGAACGGCGCUUGAAACUACCCGGCUGGAGGCUUGGAGAGGGCAGUGGAAUUCCCGGUGUAGCGGUGAAAUGCGCAGAUAUCGGGAGGAACACCAACGGCGAAGGCAGCUGCCUGGACAAGAUCUGACGCUGAAGCACGAAAGCGUGGGGAGCAAAAGGGAUUAGAUACCCCUGUAGUCCACGCCUUAAACUUUGCACACUAGGUCUUGGGGGAUUCGACCCCCCCAGGGUCCAAGCUAACGCGUUAAGUGUGCCGCCUGAGGACUACGGCCGCAAGGCUAAAACUCAAAGGAAUCGACGGGGCCCCGCACAAGCGGUGGAGCAUGUGGCUCAAUUCGAUCGACGCGAAGAACCUUACCAGGACUUGACAUGCAGUGGACCGCCAUCCGAAAGGGGGCUUUCCCGCAAGGGACCGCUGCACAGGUGCUGCAUGGCUGUCGUCAGCUCGUGUCGUGAGAUGUUGCCUUAAGUGGCGCAACGAGCGCAACCCCUGUCCUUAGUUACCAUCAUUUAGUUGGGGACUCUAAGGAGACAAACUUGUUUUAUACAAGUGGGAAGGUGGGGAUGACGUCAAGUCAGUAUGGCCCUUAUGUUCUGGGCUGCACACGUGCUACAAUGCCCGGCACAAUGGGUUCCAAGACCGCGAGGUGGAGGCAAUCCUCAAAGCCGGGCCUAGUUCAGAUUGAAGUCUGCAACUCGACUUCAUGAAGCUGGAAUCGCUAGUAAUGGUGCAUCAGCUACGGCACCGUGAAUACGUUCCCGGGGCUUGUACACACCGCCUGUCACAUCAUGAAAGCCGGUUUGCCCCGAAGUGCGUGAGCCAACUCGCAAGAGAGGCAGCGCCCUAAGGGUGGGCUGGUGAUUGGGAUGAAGUCAUAACAAGGUA
rnacentral:rRNA from 1 species